AAAAUUGCAUGGACUUUGGUUGCUUAAUAUUCAAAUGAAAUUGGAACUACGUUUGUAUGAAACGAGUGACGGAGAGAGCCCUCUUAACUUGACUUUGGAAUAAGUUGGAAUAUAAAAUGUAAGUUUUGAGUACAAUACAGGAUGUAAUUAAACGUUAGCAAAAACUUAGCGCUAUUAUUAUACCUGCUAUCUAACCACAAUCCAAUGCCAAAAACCAAUUGCCUAUCUUGUAGUUUCAGUGAUUUAGUCUUUUUCAAACCCGCAUUCCGUAACGUGCAAAGACUUCGAGUAACCUAUUUACGGAACGUUCGUUGACCUCUAGCGUCAGUCAGGUGUUUUAUUUGCAAUAUAUUGCGAUAUUUUUUUUCGUGGUUUGUUUACGGUAUCUUAUCAGUAAUCAUCAGUACCAUCACCUUUCGUUUUGCUAGCGUUCUGGUUACACCCUGUAUGAAGGGUCAAUCAUUUAAAAUAUUUUUACGUACCCAAUAAUUUGGUAAGGAUCAGAAGGUCAAUAAAAAAAAAACAAUAAAAUCAAUCAAUAAUUAUCGCGACACGUGAUAGCAGUCGGGAAUCGGGAUCAGGGACCGAAUUACCGGUAUUUUUUUCGUCGCGAUAACAUAGUAUCGUUAUGUUAACGAUAAAAAUAACGAUACCCGAUAACUCACCAUUUAUACCUACCGGUAAUUAUGCACCUAUUUCUGUCUAAAGAUGCCGUGUACAAAGUAGCACCUUGGCUCGACGCGAUUAUAAUAUUAAAUA